CGGUGCGCUGGCCGUGCCCUUUUGUUCCAGGCUGGAGCCGGCUAGCAAUUAGGAAAGAUUCAACCGGGAGAGUCCAGUACUGCAGGAUUUUUUCUGUGGCCGCUGAAUCAGUUGGGGAUGAUUGUUGCUGACAUACGGUAAACAGCUUUGGGGCGGCAGUAAUCCGUCAGAAACUUGUGCCGGUCCUUCACCUGAUCGUAGGUGUUGCCGGUGCAGGUGCACGUCGCGGGGUGUGUACUCUGACCUCCCCCGGCACUGCGCGGCCGUGAGUAAUGCCGAGCGGCCCGGGGGGGAGAGGUGGAGUUAGGAACGCUCAACAGGUUAUUUCUCCUUCGUGUAAAAUUAAAGGUUUGCUUUGAAACUAGUUCGGAUUUGAAUUUCGAACUAAUUUUUAGCUUGUGGCGCCUGAGCAGUUGCUCCGGCUUCUCAGCGCUACGAGUUCCCGUCGUGUGUUAGCUGUGUUACCGGAGCUCGGCUUAGUGGUGGCUGCUUUCGAGUGAAACUAUGUGGUUUCGGUCUGAUGUCACUUGCUGGUAUGCACUUACUCAGAAGUGGUGUUCUACAGGCUAAGGUAAAAUAUACACCUUACUGUAUUACUACCGAAAAACUUCGGCACUUGAGAUACUAAGUAACAAACUUAUUGUUGUAAGAUACUAUUAGCUGGCGAUUUUACCAACUCCGGUCUUACUUUCGAGGUGUGUUCGAGGCAACCUCAGCUUCCAGAAUGGAAUUUAAAAAACUUAAAAGCUAACGUUGACUAUUGAGCUUCAUGCCUCAUUUUAUGUAUGCUUCCGGAGGUAUUGUAUUACAUUUUAACAUACACACAAACGCAUUUCAACAAUAAAUGUUUGUUGUUGGAAGUAACUUAUUUUGGGCAAA